CUCUAGUAUGUUACGUCUAGUCUAUGAGACCAGGAUGGAUGGAGGUGCUGAGCUGACAGGCCAUUGGAUGGAUGAGGGUGCUGAGCUGACAGGCCAUUGGAUGGAUGGAGGGUGCUGAGCUGACAGGCCAUUGGAUGGAUAAGGGUGCUGAACUGACAGGCCAUUGGAUGGAUGGAGGGUGCUGAGCUGACAGGCCAUUGGAUGGAUAAGGGUGCUGAACUGACAGGCCAUUGGAUGGAUGGGUUAGUAGAGUAGCCUGCUACAAUACAGUAGUCUUUAUAUAGAACUUCAAAGGGACAGCUAGUUUAAUACAGUUCAAAAGAGUCUCCUAAUAAACUACAUACUAACCAAGGAGGAACACUGGCUGUUCAUAAGAGCGUUUUUUACAGUCA
rnacentral:lncRNA from 1 species